GGGGCUGCCAAGGUUUCGACAGGAAUAAUUAGUAUUUAUUUAGCAAGUCGAUUAGUCGUCGUUAUAGACUAUCAAAAAUAACUGGAAACAGUAGACAAACAGCUGUUGCUUUUGCUUAAUUAAUAAGCGCGACAGGUUCCCCUACUUCUUUGCUUACGAGACGUAGAAGGAACUUAUAAAGUAAGCUAUAUUGUAUAUGUGUCUAGAUUAUAUAACGAAUUUUAUAGACUAGUAAAUAUUUUAAGUUGUUAGUUGAUUAUAAUAUUUAUGAAACACAUUAACUAACUAAACUUGUAGAAUAAUAAAUAUGAAUAUUUUUGGACAGGAGUUCGAUUCUCCUCAGCUCCACCA
rfam:Clostridium sp. CAG:914 genomic scaffold, scf54